UACGUAGGGUGCAAGCGUUAAUCGGAAUUACUGGGCGUAAAGCGUGCGCAGGCGGUUUUGUAAGUCUGUCGUGAAAUCCCCGGGCUCAACCUGGGAAUUGCAUUCGAGACUGCAUUGCUGGAGUACGGAAGAGGAAGGCGGAAUUCCCGGUGUAGCGGUGAAAUGCGUAGAUAUCGGGAGGAACAUCAGUGGCGAAGGCGGCCUUCUGGUCCAGUACUGACACUCAAGUGCGAAAGCGUGGGGAGCAAACAGG
rnacentral:rRNA from 1 species